CUUUAAUCUGUCACAUUUUACUUCCCUUAGUUUCAAUUUCUAAAAUUAAACCACCCUUUGGGCCCGUAGUGAGUUGUAAUAUAAUAACCAAUCUACCACAUUUUUAGUUUCGUAUUUCACAAUUUAAACCCGCCUCGAGAUAUUCCCGAGGAAUCUGGGAGGAGGAGCUCAGGUAAGUAAUGCAUUUACUGGUGAUUUCUACUUUUUACCAUUUCUGAUAAGUGUAUGUGUUAUCUUUGCUGCCAUCAGCGGUUUCAUUUGCUGAGUUCUUCGAGAAAGGCAAACCAAAAGACACGACACUCUUGAUUAAUAAUUACUAGCCGUAACGUAACGGUAAGUAACAUUAUUUUCCCCCAUCUAUAUUAUAUUCUUCUUCAUUCCAUCUUAAACUAACACUACCACUCCUUUACAAUCCAAAUGAAUUGGUCUUUGACCCCCAUUGCUUCGGUCCUGGCCAGCCAGCAACAAUACUCUAAGUUAGCUCGUUGGUGACUCAAUCAAUAUCUGUUAGUUUUUUAUAGUCUUAUUAUUCUGACUUGUUUCAGUGAUUUGAGAUUGGGAAGGAAGCAUUUUACCUGUGGAUGUUUUGUUGUUAGAUACGUAGUGUGAAUUUCUUGGAUGGUUUCGUGUAUUGUUAGUGUGUUUGAGAGACUUGCGAUUCUUGAUUCUGUUCCACAAAAUUCAUCUCUUUUUGUUUGUUACUAUGUGAAAAGUUGUGAGAUCUUUGUGAAGUCUCUGUUAGUGAAGAAUGUGUGCAAAAUGUCCUGAUGAUGCGCAUUUGUCCUGUGAACUACGUAGAGAUUUGGGAUGCGUUGCGCUGCAGGAGAAUAAGAACGAUGGAAGGUCAUCAUCGACUACGAGUUUGGAGCCUUAGCGUGGAGCUCAUCUGUUCUGUGCUCUGGUAGCAGAGACAGGAGCAUAUUUCAGAGAGACAUACGGUGUCAAGAAGAUCAUGUCAGCAAACUAACAGGUCACAAAUAUCCCAAGUCUGUGGACUUAAAUGGUCUUAUGACAACCGCGAGCUAGCAUCAGGCGGUAACGACAAUAAGCUUCUUGUAUGGAACCAACAUUCAACACAACCGGUUUUGAGAUACUGUGAGCACACAGCAGCGGUUAAAGCCAUUGCGUGGUCACCGCAUCUCCACUGCUGAUAGAUGUAUCCGUUGCGUAGACACCAGUAGUCAGGUGUGUAAUUUGGCUUGGUCUAAGAACGUGUGAAUGAGCUUGUGAGCACUCAUGGAUAUUCCCAAAACCAAAUCAUCGUUUGGAAAUACCCAACCAUGUCUAAAGUAAAGAGUUACUGUCCUGUUAAUUUUCAGUUUCUUGUUAAGUUUUGCGGAGUUUCAGGUAAAGAAACAUUCUCUGUUUCUUAAUCACAACAAUGCAUUUACACACACGUUAAUCUCUGUUUAAAUUCUCAGAGCAGUGAGAGCAGAAUAGGGGCUUGUUUUAGUACUAGACGGCUACAAGAUUAAAAAGGAAGUAAAAAAAUGGAAUGCUCUUUCUUCAGCCGUGUAAGUGUAAGUCAGGUUAGUCAGUGAUGCUGCGCUAUGGAACUGACGCUGAAGGCUUAUCUGGAUAUGGGUUUUUUAAAGAAGAUGAUGUCGACCUAGCGCGCACGAGCUGGGAAAAUCAAAGGUUUCACAAGAAUUUGACUAUCCUUAUGAACCACCUAUGCAUUGCAAGAUUGUGAAUUUGUGACAGAAAACAACAGAGACGAGAAUUCAUCUUUAUCUGUUUCUGAAAUGGCAGAGAUUGUUGUGUCCUUACUUGUAAUGUUGUGUCCUUACUUGUAACAUGUACAAACAUCUCUUGUAAUAUGCUCAAAAGUAUUAUUAACCCCAAUGUCAUUUGGUGUAAUGAAAAAGCAACCCCCUGUUAAGCAACCCCCGUUUUCAUUGUUUGAAUGGGGAUAAUAAAAUCAUGUUUGUAACGUUCA